AUGGUGGGAGUUGAGUGGAUGUUUGCAGGGGGCAAAGCACAGUCCUGCUCUGGUGCACGGUGGGGAUGGAGCCACAUCGAACACCUGGCUGUGGAGGUCACUGCUAGAGCUCUGUGAGCAGGGCAGAUAAAGGUCAACUGCAAGAACACCGCUUCCCAAUGGACGGGUUCAUGGGAGGUCUGUUGCAGAGCAAGCCCUGCUAUUGUCCCAGCCUGAGUGCCCACGGCUGCACCCUGGAUGGGUCGAUUCCUACCCCAUAGUUGCUGAGGACAGUCCUAAGCUCCACUGCCGGCAGCUGGUAGGAAGCCUUCUUCACAGUUCUUCCUGGAUCUCCCUGGAAACUGCCGGAAGCAACUUCCUUUUGUUGCACAGGACUUCCGGUUCUUGCCUUGUACGGUGAUCUGGGCUGGAGGUAGACUCUCACCCUCAGCAUUGCCAGCACAACGGAUUUAACGGCAUCCAGGGAUUGGGAGGGUUUUCCAAAGCUCUGCUUCCCUUGCAAAACUGAGUAAACAGAACAUGGUCUUUCAGGGAUCAAGAAAUGUCUGUGCCUGGGGGCAAAGCUUUGCUGGAAUGAAAGGAGGAGCUUCCGGGUGGCUCAGGCUGUCCUCGGAUACAAGCAAACCUCUCCUGAUUGAUCAUGGCAGUUGUUUUAAGAAGGAAAUCAUGUACAAGAAGGAUCACUGAGUAGUGUCAUGAUUUCAACAAAAGUGCUUCGUAGGCUCUGCCAGCCAUUCCCUACCGAGUCAGGGUGUGUGCGAGUGACAGUGAGGUGAACCCCAGUGGAAUGUUCUGGUGAGUCCUUCGCCUCUGUGACGCUCAGUCUCUCCUCCCAAAGAUGCCUGGCUCUUUACCAAGAAAUUGCUCUAGAUGAUGGAGAACUUAAACACAUAUGGAAAACAUGAGAAAUACAAAUGGAUGAAGGGUUUUUUCUUUUUUUAUUUAUGUUUCAGCUUAUUUGAAAGAUAGAGAGACAGAGAUCUUCUGUUCAUUGCUUCACUUCCCAAAUGCCCUUCAGUCCAAAGGCAGGAGCCUGAAACUCAAUCUAAGCCUUCCACAUGGGUGGCAAGGAUCCACCUGCUGCUUCCCAGGAAGCUGGAAUCUGAAGUGGAGCUGGGACUUGAACCCAGGCACUCCGAUGUGGGAUAUGGCAUCUUAACCACUAUACCAAUUGCCCACACCAAGGAUAGAGGGCUGCUCAAGAGAAACUCUUUGAACUAAUAAAUAAUUUUAUCUAAAUAUAUGUUACA
rnacentral:lncRNA from 1 species